rnacentral:lncRNA from 1 species
AAACUAAGGAAAUUGCAUGAUCUAGCAAUAUCACCAUGCAUUUGGGUAGCUAGAAUUAGGUCUCUCUAUUUCUUAAUGCAAUUGACAGUUGUUAGAUGCCAAAGGUCCAAGGACAUUCCUUGGCAACUUGUUGAUUAGUGAUUAGUUAGAGGACGUUCCCUAAUUAAUUUAUGCUUAAGGAGGGAUAUGGUGGUGAGAA